GGGCACUUAGCUCAGUGGUAGAGCGCUUCGUUUACAUCGAAGAUGUCGGGGGUUCAAAUCCCUCAGUGCCCA
rnacentral:tRNA from 6 species